AUGCUGUGAUGAGGGAACUUUCUCAGUAUUUCCUUAAACCUCUCCCAUGCUUCAUACAAUGACACCCCGUCAGUCUAGAAGAAGUUACUAAUCUCCUUUCUCAACCU